GACGAACGCUGGCGGCGUGCUUAACACAUGCAAGUCGAACGGUGAAGCGCCUUCCUUUUUGGUGGGUGUGGACGAGUGGCGAACGGGUGAGUAACACGUGAGUAACCUGCACCCUUCUUCUGGAUAACCGCAUGCAAGUGUGGCUAAUACGGGAUAUUCUGGGUCUGUCGCAUGAUGGGUAUGGGCAAGAUUGUGUUUCGGUGGGGGAUGGUCUCGCGGCCUAUCAGCUAGUUGGUGGGGUGAUGGCGUCCCAAGGCGGCGAUGGGAAGCCGGCCGGAGAGGGGGGUCGGCCACCAUGGUAGUGCGGCGCGGCCGAGAAGACUACGGGAGGCAGCAGCAGGGAAGAUUAUUGAACGGUGGGAGGACGGAUGAUGCAACGCCGCGGCGUGGAUGAUGGUGGUCUUCGGGUUGUGCACCGCUUUCGCGGAAGAAGCAAUGUGGCCUCGUUUGUGGGUGGGUUGACGGUAGCUGGACAAGAAGCCCCGGCUAACUACGUG
rnacentral:rRNA from 1 species